ACGGGUGAGUAACACGUAUGUGAUCUACCCCAGAGACGGGGAUAACGGGCGGAAACGCUCGCUAAUACCGGAUGACCUUACCGAGUCAAAUUGGUAAGGAAAGGCUCCGGCGCUCUGGGAGGAGCCUGCGGCCCAUCAGCUAGUUGGCGGGAUAAAGGCCCACCAAGGCGAAGACGGGUAGGGGGUGUGAGAGCAUGGCCCCCCACAAUGGGACUGAAACACGGCCCAUACUCCUACGGGAGGCAGCAGCAGGGAAUAUUGCACAAUGGACGGAAGUCUGAUGCAGCGACGCCGCGUGGAUGAUGAAGGCCCUCGGGUUGUAAAAUCCUUCACAAGGGGACGAGGAAGGACGGUACCCUUGGAACAAAGUGUCGGCUAACUACGUGCCAGCAGCCGCGGUAAGACGUAGGACACAAGCGUUAUCCGGAUUUACUGGGCGUAAAGCGUCUGCAGGCGGACAGGUAAGUUGGGCGUGAAAGCUCCGGGGCUCAACCCCGGAGAGGUCGUUCAAUACUGCGUGUCUAGAGGGUGUCAGAGGGGAGUGGAAUUUCCGGAGUAGCGGUAAAAUGCGCAGAUAUCGGAAAGAACACCAAUGGCGAAGGCAGCUCCCUGGGGCAUACCUUGACGCUAAGAGACGAAAGCUAGGGGAGCGAACAGGAUUAGAGACCCUGGUAGUCCUAGCCCUAAACGAUGGAUGCUGGAUGUGGGG
rnacentral:rRNA from 1 species